rnacentral:rRNA from 1 species
UACGUAGGGUGCGAGCGUUGUCCGGAAUUAUUGGGCGUAAAGGGCUCGUAGGCGGUCUGUCACGUCGGGGGUGAAAACUCAGGGCUUAACCCUGAGCCUGCUUCCGAUACGGGCAGACUAGAGGUAUGCAGGGGAGAACGGAAUUCCUGGUGUAGCGGUGAAAUGCGCAGAUAUCAGGAGGAACACCGGUGGCGAAGGCGGUUCUCUGGGCAUGACCUGACGCUGAGGAGCGAAAGUGUGGGGAGCGAACAGG